GCAGUCGUACGCUUCUAUUUUCCACCGGAGCUUGCUCCACCGGAAAAAGAAGAGUGGCGAACGGGUGAGUAACACGUGGGUAACCUGCCCAUCAGAAGGGGAUAACACUUGGAAACAGGUGCUAAUACCGUAUAACAAUCGAAACCGCAUGGUUUUGAUUUGAAAGGCGCUUUCGGGUGUCGCUGAUGGAUGGACCCGCGGUGCAUUAGCUAGUUGGUGAGGUAACGGCUCACCAAGGCCACGAUGCAUAGCCGACCUGAGAGGGUGAUCGGCCACAUUGGGACUGAGACACGGCCCAAACUCCUACGGGAGGCAGCAGUAGGGAAUCUUCGGCAAUGGACGAAAGUCUGACCGAGCAACGCCGCGUGAGUGAAGAAGGUUUUCGGAUCGUAAAACUCUGUUGUUAGAGAAGAACAAGGAUGAGAGUAACUGUUCAUCCCUUGACGGUAUCUAACCAGAAAGCCACGGCUAACUACGUGCCAGCAGCCGCGGUAAUACGUAGGUGGCAAGCGUUGUCCGGAUUUAUUGGGCGUAAAGCGAGCGCAGGCGGUUUCUUAAGUCUGAUGUGAAAGCCCCCGGCUCAACCGGGGAGGGUCAUUGGAAACUGGGAGACUUGAGUGCAGAAGAGGAGAGUGGAAUUCCAUGUGUAGCGGUGAAAUGCGUAGAUAUAUGGAGGAACACCAGUGGCGAAGGCGGCUCUCUGGUCUGUAACUGACGCUGAGGCUCGAAAGCGUGGGGAGCAAACAGGAUUAGAUACCCUGGUAGUCCACGCCGUAAACGAUGAGUGCUAAGUGUUGGAGGGUUUCCGCCCUUCAGUGCUGCAGCUAACGCAUUAAGCACUCCGCCUGGGGAGUACGACCGCAAGGUUGAAACUCAAAGGAAUUGACGGGGGCCCGCACAAGCGGUGGAGCAUGUGGUUUAAUUCGAAGCAACGCGAAGAACCUUACCAGGUCUUGACAUCCUUUGACCACUCUAGAGAUAGAGCUUCCCCUUCGGGGGCAAAGUGACAGGUGGUGCAUGGUUGUCGUCAGCUCGUGUCGUGAGAUGUUGGGUUAAGUCCCGCAACGAGCGCAACCCUUAUUGUUAGUUGCCAUCAUUUAGUUGGGCACUCUAGCAAGACUGCCGGUGACAAACCGGAGGAAGGUGGGGAUGACGUCAAAUCAUCAUGCCCCUUAUGACCUGGGCUACACACGUGCUACAAUGGGAAGUACAACGAGUCGCGAAGUCGCGAGGCUAAGCUAAUCUCUUAAAGCUUCUCUCAGUUCGGAUUGUAGGCUGCAACUCGCCUACAUGAAGCCGGAAUCGCUAGUAAUCGCGGAUCAGCACGCCGCGGUGAAUACGUUCCCGGGCCUUGUACACACCGCCCGUCACACCACGAGAGUUUUAACACCCGAAGUCGGGAGGUAACCUU
rnacentral:rRNA from 1 species